UUAUUAUUUAUUAUUACUUAUUAUUUAUUGUUUGUGCCUUCUUGUUUUUUGUAUUGCGUCGUUUACUUGUCUAUCGUGUAAUAUGUCUUGUCUAUCGUGUAAUAUGUCUUGUCCCCGUGGGAUAGAGAAAACGUAAUUUCGAUCUCUUUGUGUGUCUCGGCAUGUGAAGACGUUGACAAUAAAGCAGACUUUGACUUGACUUUGAUAUCACGGGUCAUUACGACGAGUUUGGUGAAGUUUUUACUGCUUCUUCCAACUCCUACCGCGCUGACUGUAACUUGACACUCUCUGGCUGCGUCUUGCCUCAUUUGCAUACUCACAGUGAUUGGAUGUUUACGGAGGGGCGCGGAGUCCUGACAGCAGGCUGUGUGAGGACACACACUGCACCGACAUGAGAGAAGAGAGGGGGCUGAUUACGUGUGUUUCUAUCAGCGGAUUUUUUACUUCUAAAAGUUUGAUUCGAGGGGGCAGAACAUCUGUUUGAGGGAGCGUUGCCCCUCUUGCCCCUGCUUAGAGCCGGUGUUGGUUUAGACACGUCCCACUGCUGGAAGUAGACCUUUGUUUGUGUUGCUCACAUGCGGUUGGAUCAAGGAUGCAUAGCACAAAUGUUUUCCACCCCGGGAAAGGGAGCGCUUCUGCGCAAGUGUAUGGGUAUGUGUGUGUCAGAGGAGGGAUGCUGGGCUGGUGAGUCAGCUUCACGAGUUGAGCCGUCAGAUCAGCGAGCUGCGAUUAGACAACGAGGCAUCACGUGACCAAAUGGAAACAUCACAUGACCAGCAGGAAGUGGACAGACGGGCCAGUUCUGGUCGGAGGAGCACAUGUAUGACAAGGGCGUGUCGUGUGGCUAAGCUGACGACUUGUGCACGUCAGGUUUCUAUGAGUUGAGCGAUGCGGCAUCCGUGUCCAACUCGCCCGACUUCAUCUUCACCGAGUGUUUCUGUCGGAUGGCCGACCCGGAUAUAUUCCGCCCCAACAACGGUAUACUUUUCUGACCCUGACUCCAUCUUCUGAUGCGUUUUGUGGUGUGCAGACCCAACAACAAGUUUUGUUGUGCUUUUCAGUUCAGACGAGAGCGGUGGCUGCUCCACGUGAUGCCUCACUUCCUGGUUCUGCCUGCGACUCCGGCCCCACCCCUUCUAAGUACCGCAGUACCGUUUUGGUCCCAAAAGUGAGCGAGGUGGUUCGGCCCCCGCGUCCGGCCGCCUCCCUAGAGAUGGUGACCAAAAGCAAGGAAUCGUCCGCACCCAUCGGCUCUCCUUCUAUCGUACGGCAGAGCUGCCCUCGGCCCGCCCACACCCUCUCUCAAAGACAUCUGGACAACUACAUCUACCGUUUGCUUCAGUGUCGAGCCCCCGUCUCUCGUACUGGCUGCCCCAAGACCAAAGCGGGCAGCCACUGUAAUGCUCCCCGGCGCCAGCCUUUGCCCAUAACACAGAGCGUGUCCCACUCUGAGGUAAUCGGAAUGCUACGGGGCAGGGACAAAUUCCCAAGACCAAACACAAAAACGGACGGUAGCCAUGAGCCAAAUUCGGUACUAGCCGCCCUCGCAAGGUCCCGAUUACCAAACCCGGACGAAGCAGGGCAGCGACAGCAGAGUCAUUGCAAGCACAACGCCGUAAGGAGUCGCCACUCCUACAGGGGCAGAGUGAAGUCCGAUGGCGGGGGCUGGAAGACACGGGCGCCGGCCCCCUGACAGCCUGCAAGAGACCACCCCCGGUAUCCACCCCAGAUGUCCAUCGCUGUGGAAACCACCACCGCAUCACCAAGACCAACCGGGGCGACUGCCGCUUGUCACAGGUUCACUCCGACUCAUGACCACCAUGUAAAGCCUGUUAGCUGGAGAUGCUUCUUAAGAGCGGAGUGAGACUUAACCAAUUGGAUUGGCCUGACAAUUGCUUCUGAAGUUGUUGAGCCUAAAAAGGUGAACGUAUUGUAGUAUAUUUUUAUUCUGGUAUCAUUCUGGUUUCACUUCUAAGCUUAAGUGUGACCAGGUCACGCUCGUGUGGGAUUUUAUGGGGCCUGGUCCAGGAAGGCAGACUUCCUGGCACCAGGAUGCAGAGGCGUAGCCAAGCCGGGGCGCCCCGGUUCGGACUCCGUGCGCCCCGGUUGAAAAAAAUCUGGCUUUUUCGAUUCUUCAUUUUCAUGCCGUUUUUUUCUUUCGGUCCUGCGCCAACGUGCUUGCGCUAUUCUAUCUGCGCGAUGUUAUCCAUUCACCGUUUGCCUCCCCGACCCGGAUGUUGUUUUAGCGAUCAGCGAACGGCGUGGGUGAUGUUAGAUUUUUUUUCCUGUGGGCGUGCGCCCCUACUGGAAAAAUUCCUGGCUACGCCUCUGCCAGGAUGUAUAGAUACAGCGGUUGGCCAUCUGUGUAGAAUCAGCAAGGCAGGCUGGCGGGUCAGAGGUCAUCCAGCAGCCGUCGUGAGGUGGGGGCGUGGGGUAUAAUAUUCGAGGGCGGGAAGACUUGGGGGGACUUGAGACUUUUGGCUGGAGAGAGACACUUCAAUUCUGACAUCGGUUGAAUAAAAUCUUUCCCCAAUCAGCCGUGUCUCACUGAAGUUUUCCUUCCCCGAGCCAGACACCUUUCCACCGCUUGCUUUUGAAGACCAGCUGACCACCAAAGAGAAUUCACCACAAUAUCCAAUGUUUGCAUUUUUUUGACAAACGGUGUGACAUGUUAGCGAGUCCGCUGGGUGCCUCCCCACCAUUGUUGAAUGCGUCUGUUGAUGCUUAUUGGUAUCUGUAAUGCACCUGAACGAAAUUCAAAUCAAAAUAGUCACAGCUUUUUCCUGUUAGUAUAGCUUAGCACGGUUAGCGUAAAAAAAUGAAGACUGGGUGCGUUUAUUCGACCAAAUAAAACAAACGUUGAUCUCAUAACCAUUGGCUCGUCAGUUAUCCAUGUGACAAUUGACACGUUACCAUGGCAACCAAUUAAUUGCCAAUUGGUUUUUUUCCAUGUAUAAUGCGCCCUCAUGUAUUAUACGCACCCUAAAAAUGGCAUGUCGAUGCUGGAAAAAAGCCUCUACCUAUGUAUAAUACGCACCCAAAUUUUGACUCCUACUUAAGUCCGUAAACGUAAAAUUAUUUCAGAAAAAAGAUCAUCUUUGGGAACAACCGGAUGUUAUUCUGCCGGUCAGUAUCACUACGCAUGCGCUAGCAAACUCGAUAGCGAAGAAAUGUUUCGGAUUUGUGUAGGGUACGUUCUGACAGCAAACGAGCAGGUGAUCGAGCAAGCGUCUGAUACGAGAGCAUUGUGUUCGUAUGGAGCGUGUUUGAAGUGAACAGCAGAGAAGAAAGCGCAUCUGUAAUGGCGGCCUCCGUAUCAUAUCCGGAUAAAAAAAAAAAUAAAAAAAUAAAAAUAUAUAUAUUUUUUUUGUACCCAUGUAUAAUGCGCACCCCAGAUUU